GCGAAUGUACCCAAGUGGAUCAAGGCAGGGGAUUUGUAAA
rnacentral:tRNA from 1 species